rnacentral:tRNA from 1 species
AGUAAUAUGUCUGAUUUGAAGUAAUAAACUGUAAAUUUAUUUAUAGAAUUUUUAUAUUCUUGUUACU